CACGUAGUUAGCCGGGGCUUCUUAGUCAGGUACCGUCAUUUCUUUCUUCCCUGCUGAUAGAGCUUUACAUACCGAAAUACUUCUUCACUCACGCGGCGUCGCUGGAUCAGGGUUCCCCCCAUUGUCCAAUAUUCCCCACUGCUGCCUCCCGUAGGAGUCUGGGCCGUGUCUCAGUCCCAAUGUGGCCGUCCACCCUCUCAGGCCGGCUACUGAUCGUCGCCUUGGUGGGCCGUUACCCCGCCAACAAGCUAAUCAGACGCGGGUCCAUCUUAUACCACCGGAGUUUUUCACACUGGGCCAUGCAGCCCCGUGCGCUUAUGCGGUAUUAGCACCUAUUUCUAAGUGUUAUCCCCCUGUAUAAGGCAGGUUACCCACGCGUUACUCACCCGUCCGCCACUAAGAUACCAACAUCUUGGCGCUUAGUAACUAAUCACCUCGAAAAUGGCAUCCCCGUUCGACUUUGCAUGUGUUAAGCACGCCGCCCAGCGUCA
rnacentral:rRNA from 1 species